rnacentral:lncRNA from 1 species
GGGGGGGGGGGGGGGGGGGGGCUAGGAUGAAAUUUGAAAAAAAUAGGCAGGACAGGAGUUUUGAGUAAAAAAAAGGCAGGAUGAGACACUUGCAAAAAAAAAAAAAGUCAGGACGACAAUUUAGGUAAAAAAGUCAGGAUAAACUAAAAAAAAAGGCAGGACCGAACAGAGUGAAAAAUAAAAAGGCAGGACAGAGAUUACAGCUAAAAAAAUAUGCAGGACAAAAUUUUUCAUCCUAGCCCCCCCAUAAAAAUCAAAUGGUAGCUCCC